AACGAACGCUGGCGGCAGGCCUAACACAUGCAAGUCGAACGCCGUAGCAAUACGGAGUGGCAGACGGGUGAGUAACGCGUGGGAACAUACCCCCUCGGUUCGGAAUAACUUAGGGAAACUUGAGCUAAUACCGGAUACGUCCGAGGUUUUAACCGGCCUCGGAGAAAGAUUUAUCGCCGGAGGAUUGGCCCGCGUCUGAUUAGCUUGUUGGUGAGGUAAUGGCUCACCAAGGCGACGAUCAGAGCUGGUCUGAGAGGAUGAUCAGCCACAUUGGGACUGAGACACGGCCCAAACUCCUACGGGAGGCAGCAGUGGGGAAUAUUGGACAAUGGGCGAAAGCCUGAUCCAGCCAUGCCGCGUGAGUGAUGAAGGCCUUAGGGUUGUAAAGCUCUUUUACCCGGGGAAGAUAAUGACGGUACCGGGAGAAUAAGCCCCGCUAACUUCGUGCCAGCAGCCGCGGUAAU
rnacentral:rRNA from 1 species